GGAAGAAGCAGGCUCCUAGUGGAGGAGCCUGAUGUGGGGCUCGAUCCCAGAACGCUGGGAUCACGCCCAGAGCCAAAAGCAGACACUUUAACAAUUGCGCCACCCAGGCGCCCAAACCAAUUAUGCUUUUUAAGUGUUAGAACUUUAUCUGGGACAAUUUAAUAAGAAUUAUUGCAAGUGGUUCCAAAGCGUUCUUGGAUUAAGGUACCACUCUGCGUAUUGGGUAAUUUUCAUGGACUAGCUAAGCUUGGAGAAGAAGGAGGGACAAGGUUAAAAAGAGGAUGCAGAGAUUUAGAAAACUGUUCCUUCCUCUUUUACCUUGUUUCUCCAAAAACAGAAUUAUCUUUAUGGUGGAUUUACAUAAAUACUGCUCGAGUCUAACAGCUUCUAGCCUUGUCCCCAGGCUCUUCUGGGUGGACCAUACUCUAUGUCAGUGUCCUAUUUGGAACCUCUACUGUUUUAACCUUUCCUCUUCCUAGUCCAGAUGUCAAGUACAUCUUUAAAGAAUGUAUUCCCCUAUCCUCUGCCCUCCUACUUUUCAAAGCACAGAAGUUGCUAUUCCAAAGCUGUAAGUAAAUUUCCCAUUCUCCAUAAUUCCACUUCCAGUAAAAGUAUGAUGAUGAAGGAGAAAUGUAAAAACUACCCUCCUCCAGGUAAGAAAAAAUUAUGAGUUAGACGCGAAGUCAGCAAACUUCAAAGGGCCAAAUAGUAAAUAUUUUAGUCUUUGCAGCCAAAUGAUCUCUGUUGCAACUACUCAACUCUGCAGAGGUAGUAUGAAUGAAAGCAGCCAAAGACAACACUAGCUGAAUGGGGGUAGCUAUCUUUCAAUAAAAUUUAAGAAUACUGAAAUUUGAAUAGCAUGUAAUUUUUGUGUGUCACAGAAUAUUUAGAAUAACCUAGUUUUUUUUUUUUAAGCCAUUAAAAAAUAUAAAAACCCUCCGUAGCGUGCAGGUACUGUUUGUCAACCUCUGGGUUGGACCAAGGAUUCAAGAAAAUCUUAAGACAGGAAAGUCAUAUCAGUCAUCCAAUUUAAUCAUCCAAGGAUGCCAAGAUUCCCUUUUGUGGGAAAUAAUAUGGCUUAACAGGAAGAACACAGCAUUUGGAGCCAGAAGACCUAGCUAAGGCUGUCUGACGUGAUCAAAACAUUCAAUGUGUUAGCAUCUUUUCUUCUUCUUUACAAAAUAAGGAGAGAGACAGCCAGCGAGAGAGAGAGAGAGGGAACAGAAGGGGGAGUGGGAGACGAAG